GCUUCAUAUAGAAUGAGACAUUGCUCCUGCUCCAGAGGAACUUCCAAGUUAGCCAGCACACUGUCACAGAAAUUAUAGCACAGUGUAACAAGUGCUUUUACAAGAUGCAUGCUGAGAUCUGAGCCAGCCAGCGACUUCUCCUGGAUGACUUAGGACCCCACUGUUGAACUGGGUUUUGGAAGAUAUGUAAGAGUUUGUCUCCAAAGGGAAGUAUGCAAGAAAGAGUGGAGAAGGCAUUUCAGAGUAGGAAACAGAGGGCAAGGCAUUGAAAGAGCCAAAUCUGUAGGAGGGAAGAAGGAAAUUUCUAUUGACCAUAGGCUCAGAUGUGCAGGGCAUUGGAUGGAUAUCUAGGCCCUGGGGAUCAGAUUUGAAAGGCUCUUUGUGUCCUGUUGAAGAGCUGGGAUACUGCAAGAGCUUUAAGCAAAUUAUAUUGGUAGUGUCAUCUGCUUUGCUCACCAUUUGGUCCCAUGCACCCAGGUCAGGCCUACACACAGCAAGGACUCAAUAAGUGUGGAAUGAAUGUUAGUUCUGUGCUAAGCCUUUCCUAGUGCUUUACACACACCCACGCAUUUAAUACCUGCGGCAGCCCUAUGAUUAAAUGGUUGUGUCUAAGUCCUCAAGGAACAAUGUCCCAUAGGAGUAUUGCACAAUGAAAUGUAGGAGGGGAACUGGACAAGGAGUUGGACCUGAGAUGCAAAUGUGAUUCUUGUGAAGGAAAGGGGCAAAGAAGGAAGGUGGAUGGAAGGAAGCAGGUGACACUGCUGAGUCUAGCAAGGCCAUGGGGGCGGGGAGGGGUGUUGGUUCUUGAACCUUGUCCCCAAAGUCUGGCAUGUCCUGCCUUAGUAUCCCUGCUGUGCUUAGUCCUGGGCUGGGAGCAGCCUUGGAAAGCUAGCCUCUUGCUCGACCUGGAGAUAGAUAUCAGAGGAUAGAUUUCAGCAGAGCUCAGCAGCUGGGGCAGAGCCCCUGGGCAGUUAUGCUAUCUGCCCUGGAAGAUCUGAGAAGUACAUUUCUUGGCUAGUGCAGUAGUACAGUCAGUCUUCCUUAUCCUUAGGAUUCCACCAACCACAGAUUGAAAACAUUGGAGUAAAAGCUAGAUUGUUGCUGAUAUAUACAAUGUAGUUAAAUUUAGGAAUAAAAGCUACUUUUUUGCUAAUGUGUAUUAUGUAGUUAGACCUAGGAUGGUUGCAUCUGUGUGGAAUCACAGAUUCUUUUUUCUUGUCUCUAUUGCCUAAACCCAGUACAACAGUACUUAUACAGCAUUUACAUUGUAUUAUAAGUGAUC
rnacentral:lncRNA from 1 species